GGAAGUAAAAGUCGUUACAAGGUUUCCGUAGGUGAACCUGCGGAAGGAUCAUUAUUGAAUGAAACACUUCUGGCUUUAUGCUGUUGUGCUGGCCCUUUGGGCAAUGUGCACACGGCUCUGGUCACUUGUUUCUUCUGUUCCACCUGUGCACUGCCUGUAGACACGCUGUGUCUAUGAUAUUUGUUAACACACAACAAUGUUAGUUGGCAUGUUAUAUAUAAUAAUAAAAUAUACAACUCUCAACAACGGAUCUCUUGGCUCUC
rnacentral:misc_RNA from 1 species